AAAUGUGGCGCAUCUAGGAUCCUCUUCACUUUGUGCAGAAGCAAAGGGGGGAUUUGGGGCUCUGGAAAUGCAAUGUCGGAUCUCAGCAGUGGUUAUGAACCUUCUUAGAUGGGGGGCAGGUUCAGGUCGCAGCUCCUAGGGGUCAAGAGUUGGGGAGAAGCUGAAUGUUAUUUUGAGGCUGCCAGAAGGAUCUGCAGGCAGGUUAUCACAAGAUCUUGGAUAUAGUUCCUUGUCCUGUGCAAAGUCCAGAAUAACAGCUCCCCCCACCGCCGCCGCCCCCCAACCCCCGAGGUGAAAGAAUAAAAGACACCAAUCUUCGGUGUGGUCUUGGUCAUGCCCUGCACGUAAUUACAAACCCAGCUGGUGAAAGGAAAGAAGAUGAAGACGUGUAAGCUGGACACUGGGCUCGUUGCCACAAAGAGCAUUGCUGCUGGGCUGCAGCCUCUGUGAACAGGUCACAGUGUCGCCGAGAUAAUAAUCCCCUCCGCUCAGGGCCACCGAACAGGCCUGGGGCAGCCGGAUUCCCUUGGUGGUGGCCUCAGGCCAUGAGCGACUGCAUCCUUGCUCCAGAGUGAUGCUGAAAUAUGGUCAUUUCACUGUGUACUAGGCAGUGAACCAAGUUGGAAGAACUUAGAAUAGAAGGCUUCUUUCUGGGAAUACCUGGGUGGUGGGAGUAGGGGUGUUGCAGAUGUAUUUAUUUCUACAGUGGGUUGGAUUUUGUCCCCUGUACCCUCACCCCACCCCAGAGAUCUGUCCUCUUCUAACCCCUGGGACCUAUGAGUGUGGCCUUCUUUGAAAAUCAAGUCUUCGCAGAUGUAAUUAAGUUAUGGAUCUUGAGAGGAGAUUGUCCAGGAUUUAGGGUGGACCCUAAAAGAAAGGAAAAGGUGACUUGACACAAACAGGGAGGAAGUCCAGGUGAAAACAGAGGCAGAGAUUGAAGUUAAGUGGCCACAAGGCAAGGAACACCAGGAACCACCAGCUGCUGGAAGAGGCAAGAAGAGAUUCUCCCCUAGAGCCUUUGGAGGAUGUGUGACCUUGCCAUGACCUUGAUUUUGGAGAUCUGGCCUCCAGAACUGGGAAAGAAUAAAUCAUUGUUGUU